CACACUGGAGAGAGACCGUUCAGCUGUGACUUGUGUGGAAAGUCGUUUUCCAGGAAGAAAGCCCUAAAAAGACACCAAAUCCUCCACAGUGGAGUUAAAGCUUACAGCUGUGAUCAGUGUGGUAAAGCUUUUACUCGAAGUAGCCACUUACAGAGACAUCUAGUUACCCACUCUGGAAUUAAGGCAUACAGCUGUGACAUCUGUGGAAAAUCUUUCAGCCGGCUAUGGAGCCGAAAUAGACACCUACGCAUUCACUCCGGAGACAAUGUGUACUGGUGUGAUCAGUGUGGCAAAUACUUUACAACAGACGCACAUUUACAAAGCCACAUGUUUACCCACACUGAGGAGAGACCUUAUCAAUGCGACCUGUGUGAGAAGACUUUUAAAGCUCCGAGUCACCUGAGACGACACCAACAGAUCCACACCAGAAAGAGACUCUACAAGUGCAGUUACUGUGAGAAGCAGAGCGACACAGAUGGAUCCACUUCUCAACCCUGUCAUCGCUGUGGUGGUGGGAAAGACUUCCGUUGUGACAUCUGUG